rnacentral:lncRNA from 1 species
CAGGUUUAGAAAUGGUGAGUUAAGCACUCCAGUCCACAAAGCUAUCCUAUUGAAUCCCUGUGGUAAAGUACCCCUGGUGUUUUAUAUUCCUCAUGGCUGUUCCAAAUCCCUAACAUUCGCCCUCUUAAGUUUUGUUCCUACAUAUCUUUCUCUCAGCUUCUUUUUCAUUUCCCUGUAUUAAGAUUGUCUGAUAUGAAGACUUCUCUUUCCUUUCUUUACUUUUUCCAAAGUCCAACUUCAUCCUCUUCAUGAAUUUUGUCACCUCAGAUAUUUUUCAUUUUUGCUCCCUAAGUCAUUUUGAUUCUUCUUCCACAAUGUUUCAUGGAUGAAUUUCUUUCUUUUCUUUAUUAUUGUCAACAUACUACUUCACGAAUUUUUGCUGUAACUUCCAACAGAUCUAGGCUCAUAAUAAGACUUUUGGAGAAUCAAAGCACUGAAAAGAUUAUAUACUCUUUCCUGGCUAUAUUUUAAAGUAGAAAACAAAACAAUAAAAUAAGUAUAUAUUGUCUAACAUGAUGAAAACUUUAAAUCCUUUUUUAAAGACAACAUCUUCCGAGACAGAAUUUGGGAGGGAUGUCUGUACUCUCUUCAAGUUGUUUCUGAGCUCUGCAACAGGAGAGAUAGGGGAGAAAAAAUAGGGAUGGAUUCUUGGGGUAUGCUACGUAGUUGCUUUAAGUGAUGAGGCAAAAGGGACUUUUGCUUUUCAUUAUAAGCUCUUAGUGUUUUUUUUAAAACUAUGCAUUCCAUGUAUUACAUUAAUCACAGUAUUAGUUUGAAUUCACACACACAGACACACACACACACGACCCCAACCCCCCACACCAAUUUCUGACCCUGACAUUUUCUCUCCCUAGUUUACACAGUUGCUAAUUAUUAUUAUUUUUGAAAGUGAUAAAUAGUAUAUAGUACAGAAGAGCUUCUAGUUAAAAAACAUUACUUUGGGUCCUUUCUCUGUCCUGCUCCCCACUGGGAAUCACUUUUGUUUCUGUUUUUAGGUUUUCUGAAGG